GAGCACAUGGCUCAGUGGUUAUAGGCAUUAGGCCAUUAUCCUAAAGGUUGCUGGUUCAAACCCUGUUGUGGUCU
rnacentral:tRNA from 1 species